UACGUCGGGUGCAAGCGUUGUCCGGAAUUAUUGGGCGUAAAGAGCUCGUAGGCGGUUUGUCGCGUCUGCUGUGAAAACUCGGGGCUUAACCCCGGGCCUGCAGUGGGUACGGGCAGACUAGAGUGCGGUAGGGGAGACUGGAAUUCCUGGUGUAGCGGUGAAAUGCGCAGAUAUCGGGAGGAACACCAGUGGCGAAGGCGACUUUCUGGCCUGUUCUUGACGCUGAGGCGCGAAAGCUAGGGGAGCAAACGGG
rnacentral:rRNA from 1 species